AUUGAACGCUGGCGGCAUGCUUUACACAUGCAAGUCGAACGGCAGCGCGGGCUUCGGCCUGGCGGCGAGUGGCGAACGGGUGAGUAAUGCAUCGGAACGUGCCCAGUAGUGGGGGAUAGCCCGGCGAAAGCCGGAUUAAUACCGCAUACGACCUGAGGGUGAAAGCGGGGGACCGAAAGGCCUCGUGCUAUUGGAGCGGCCGCUGUCGGAUUAGCUAGUUGGUGGGGUAAAGGCUUACCAAGGCGACGACCCGUAGCUGGUCUGAGAGGACGACCAGCCACACUGGGACUGAGACCCGGCCCAGACUCCUACGGGAGGCAGCAGUGGGGAAUUUUGGACAAUGGGGGCAACCCUGAUCCAGCCAUGCCGCGUGCGGGAAGAAGGCCUUCGGGUUGUAAACCGCUUUUGUUCGGGAAGAAAUCCUCUGGGCUAAUACCCCGGGGGGAUGACGGUACCGGAAGAAUAAGCACCGGCUAACUACGUG
rnacentral:rRNA from 1 species